rnacentral:rRNA from 1 species
GAUGAACGCUGGCGGCGUGCCUAAUACAUGCAAGUCGAGCGAACGGACGAGAAGCUUGCUUCUCUGAUGUUAGCGGCGGACGGGUGAGUAACACGUGGAUAACCUACCUAUAAGACUGGGAUAACUUCGGGAAACCGGAGCUAAUACCGGACAAUAUUUUGAACCGCAUGGUUCAAAAGGGAAAGACGGUCUUGCUGUCACUUAUAGAUGGAUCCGCGCUGCAUUAGCUAGUUGGUAAGGUAACGGCUUACCAAGGCAACGAUGCAUAGCCGACCUGAGAGGGUGAUCGGCCACACUGGAACUGAGACACGGUCCAGACUCCUACGGGAGGCAGCAGUAGGGAAUCUUCCGCAAUGGGCGAAAGCCUGACGGAGCAACGCCGCGUGAGUGAUGAAGGUCUUCGGAUCGUAAAACUCUGUUAUUAGGGAAGAACAUAUGUGUAAGUAACUGUGCACAUCUUGACGGUACCUAAUCAGAAAGCCACGGCUAACUACGUG